UCGUGUUUACAAAAACAAACUAAUUUUAAUCGCUCACGCCGUCCACUGAGCUGUUUCGUAUGUUUUAUUAUUUUUUCUGGCCGAUUUUAUCUAAAUUUUGUUGAUUACGAUUCACUAAGCAAGUCAACUGGAAACAUCGUUGAUUGCAAUGCACUGGAUAACGUGUAAGUCGGCGAAAAGGAAACAACCCAUCUAAACGAAAACGUCCACGUAUUUUCCUUCACCGGAAUUUUCUUCCAACGGUUUUACAGAAGCCAGCUGCGUCCGAAAGAAUGAACGAGGAUGUUCGUUUACUGGAACAACAAAGAUGAGAUAGUCGAUUGCUUGUGGAAAACUCCAAAGUAGAACGGCAGGUUUUAUUCGAGGAUUUUUUUUUAAAUAAUGAGUAUGUGUGUCCAAUCACAAAUGGUGACUUCUCAACACUGUUAGAAAUUUGUAAUUUUAAUUGUUAGGAUUUGUUUGCUUUCGCAAUUAGGACUUAUCAUUCGUAGGGAUUUAAACCUGCUUAUCAAAAAAGGGGAAGUAAACUUACAACUAACUUAUUUGCUCACUUAUCUGCUAUAAAGAGAGCUUAUCGUAGCAAUUGAGGAUUGCAACGAUUUUUGUCGAAAAUUGUUAAUAAUUAUAUUUGACAUAGCUUCUAAUGGUUCAACACCAGUAAGUCUAUGCAAUUCGAGUGUACUAAACCAAGGAGAACGCUUCAAAAUCAUUUUCAGAAUUUUAUUCUAAAUCCUUUGGAGCGUUUUCUUCCUUGUUGAACAGCAACUUGACCAGAUCGGUACAGCAUAAAGCAUUGCUGGUCUAAAAAUUUGUUUGUAAAUCAAAAGUUUGUUCUUUAAACAAAGUUUAGAAUUCCUGUUAAUGAGAGGAUAUAAACAUCUCGUAUAUUUGAUGCACUUGGCUUGUAUACUCUCAAUGUGCUCUUUGAAAAUAAGUUUUUUAUCAUAAAUUAGUCCCAAGUACUUAACCUUCAUCUUGACAACGUGAUUAUUGUUUGGCUUGAGGAAAGAAGCCCUAGGCUUAUGCGGAAAAAUUAUCAUUUGAGUUUCAGAAGCAUUGGGAGAGAUUUUCCACUUUUGCAAGUAGGAAGAAAAAAUAUCUAAACUUUUCUGCAAUCGACUGCAUAUGACACGAAGACUUUUUCCUUUUACGGAAAUGCUUGUGUCAUCGCAGAACAAUGACUUUGUGCAUCCUGAAGGCAAAUCAGGAAGAUCUGAAGUGAAUAUGUUGUACAGGACUGGACCCAAGACUGAACCUUGAGGUACACCUGCUCUGACAGGAAAUCUAUCAGAUUUUGAAUUCUGAUAGACAACCUGCAGAGUUCGAUCAGUAAGAUAAUUUUUUAAAAUUUUGAUUAGGAAAAUUGGAAAGUUUGCAAUUUCGCAAUCAAUCCUUUAUGCCAAACACUGUCGAAUGCUUUUUCUAUGUCUAAAAGGGCAGCUCCAGUGGAAUAACCUUCAGAUUUGUUAGCUCGUAUCAUAUUAGUAACUCUGAGCAAUUGAUGAGUAGUGGAAUGCACAUGGCGAAAACCAAACUGUUCAUUUGCAAAAAUUGAAUUUUCGUUGAUGUGUGACAUCAUUCUGUUAAGAAUAAUUCUCUCAAACAGUUUACUUGUUGAAGAAAGCAAACUGAUUGGUCGAUAACUUGAAACUUCAGCUGGGUUCUUAUCCGGUUUUAAAAUUGGAGUAAUUUUUGCAUUUUUCCAUAAUUUGGGAAAAUAUGCAAUUUUGAAGCAGCAAUUGAAAAUUUUCACUAAAAAUUCCAUUGUGCUCUCAGGGAGAUGUUUGAUUAGUAUAUUAAAGAUUCCAUCGUCACCAGGUGCUUUCAUAUUUUUAAAAUUUUUAAUAAUUGAUUUAAUCUCAUUCAAGUUAGUUUCAAUUAUUUCUGCAGGUAAAAAAUUUUGGGAAGAAAUUAAAUCAAAUUGACGUGUGACUUCAUUUUCAAUUGGACUCACAAAAUUCGAAUUUGAGUUAUGAACACUCUAAAACUGCUGAGCAAGUCUUUGAGCCUUUUGUUCAUUGGAUACAAGGAAACGUUCACCGUCUUUAAAAAUUGGAAUAGGCUUUGAAGGUUUCUUAAGAAUCUUCGACAGCUUCCAAAAAGGUUUUGAAUAUGGUUUCAAUUUUUCAACUUUAGUCUCAAAAUUUUGAUUUCUUAGAUGAAUAAAUCUAUGUUUAAUCUCUUUCUGUAAAUCUUUAUAAAUAGUUUUAAAAACAGGGUCACGAGAACGUUGAUAUUGACGUCUGCGGACAUUUUUCAAACCAAUUAGAAGUUGAAGAUUUUCGUCAAUUAUUGGU